rnacentral:rRNA from 1 species
CCUACGGGAGGCAGCAGUGGGGAAUAUUGGGCAAUGGAGGAAACUCUGACCCAGCAACGCCGCGUGAAUGAUGCAGGUCUUCGGAUUGUAAAGUUCUUUUCGAAGGGAAGAAGAAAGUGACGGUACCUUAGGAAUAAGCAUCGGCGAACUAAUUGCCAGCAGCCGCGGUAAUACGUAGGAGGCGAGCUUAAUCCGGAAUGAAUGGGCGUAAAGGGUGCGUAGGUGGUUGGGCAAAGUAGUAGCUUAACUCCAAGGCUCAACCUUGGAACUACUACUAAAACUGUUGGACUUGAGUGCAGGAGGGGCAACCGGAAUUCCUAGUGUAGCGGUGGAAUGCGUAGAUAUUAGGAGGAACACCAGUUGCGAAGGCGGGUUGCUAGACUGUCACUGACACUGAGGCACGAAAGCGUGGGGAGCAAACAGGAUUAGAUACCCUUGUAGUC